UACGAAGGGUGCAAACGUUGCUCGGAAUUACUGGGCGUAAAGGGCGCGUAGGCGGCCAACUAAGUCGGAUGUGAAAUCCCCAGGCUCAACUUGGGAACUGCAUCCGAUACUGGUCGGCUUGAAUCCGGGAGAGGGAUGCAGAAUUCCAGGUGUAGCGGUGAAAUGCGUAGAUAUCUGGAGGAAUACCGGUGGCGAAGGCGGCAUCCUGGACCGGCAUUGACGCUGAUGUGCGAAAGCUAGGGGAGCAAACGGG
rnacentral:rRNA from 1 species